ensembl:lncRNA MAP4K3-DT MAP4K3 divergent transcript
UUGAAGUCAGUGGCUGGAGUAGUUGUGGGCCAGAAACAUCCUCCUCAGCCCAGGAGAAGUGGCAGCUGAUGUAUUUUAAUUACUGGGAGUCAAGAAGUUGUAGGGAUAAGAAAUGAGUUCAGCUGAGCGAUCAGCUGGAGGUCAGGGAUGGAGGAAAGACCCAGGGUGUGUGAGAUUCUGAAGUAGAGUGGUGAACAGGUGUGGGAUGGAUGUCAGGGAGAGGUGAGGGUAUCUGGAGGGUUUCCAAACAGCCAGGCCUUCAGGAUGGCCACAGCAAAACUUCCAGUUCUGAAUGGUUUUGUGGAAAGAACAUGGCACCUGGAUCUUGGAAGACAUGAACUGAAAUUUCAGUUCAAGCAUUCUAUAGCCAUGAGACCUGGGGGAAUUGGGGCAAGUUAUUUCACAUCUUUGAUCUUCAAUUCUCUCAUCUUCAAAAGGAGACUAAUGAUACUAGGGUUAAGUGAGAAUUUAAAAAAUAAUGCAUAUAAUGCACUACAUAAAUAGAAUCUUCUUCCUUUCCCUUUCUCCUACUUGGAAAUGGCUGAGAGCAAAGAUGCAGUUCUUGCAUCCCAUGACCACAGAGUUCUAGGACUGCAGCCCUGGGCAAGAGGUUCCACCUUGGCUGCUGGAGUUUUCUGCAACGAAGAACUUCAGUGAGUGUUCAGGGCAUGCCUGCAGAACCCUGGUCCUUCUGUUUGGACCAGUGCUCCAAAUCUGUAGGCCUUUGGGCCGUAAUUUAGAAGCUAUUUCUAAAUUUUUGAAGGUCUUCUGUCUAGUCCUGAGGCCUUUAGUCUCAGAGAAUUAAAUUGUCUUACCCAGGGUCGGUCAUACAGACUGCCAAAGCCUGGCCUGGCAUCCAGGUGCAAUGUUCAUCUGUGUUACCAGUUCCUCCAUGCUAACCUGACAAUGACUCACAAUUCCUUAUAGCACAGUGUUCCAAAGUCUGAGCCACAGACCACCUGUACUAGUAGCAGCCGGUGGGCUUGAUAAAAAUGCAGAUUCCUGGCUCCCUGACAGUCCCGUGCUAUCAGAUUCUGUAAAGUUUAAAAGUAAUGAUUUAUAAAUUUCCCAGACCCGGGUUAUACUUUUAUAUGGAAACAUAAUGCCUGAAUCUGACAGAGCGCUUUUUCAUGGAGGAAAGUUGGGACUCUUGGGCAGACUUCCUGUUGCUUUCGUACUCUACAGGUGUUCCUGACCCUGGAAGAAGAGGAUUUAUCUGACUCAACUGGAGAUGGCUCCCUUCCCUUAUUUAUUGUUGCAUCCUGAAGCUUCCCCCAUGCUGGGCUCAGUGUGAACAAACAGCGCGGGAGAAUGCAACCACUGCAGAGGCAUAUGUUUGAGAUACCUGGCCACUGGAGGUCAUCUCGUCUACUAUAUUCACCGCAGAUAAAGAAUGAAAAGAGAAUACACAACCUUGUGAUUGCUAGCAGUGAAAGCUCAGAGUUAUGACAUAACAGAAUUGGCUCAUGUGACUAUGGAGGCUGAGAUGUCCCAAGAGCUGGAUACCCAGGAGAAGCAAAGGGUACAAAUUGAUCUGACUUGAUUUGUCAGAGAGCCAGAACUGCAGGCAAAUAGACGCCAGAGAAAUCAACCAAUCUUUUAAGCCAGCAGUAAUUGUUCCUCCUGUCGGCUGGCUAAAUGACUUGUAUCUGGAGGAGACGCUCAGAAUGAAUCAGAAUGCUUGAGGUGACAGAAACACAGAGCAUUCCAAAGUGGGCUGUAACAGAAGUGGUUGAUCAUACUGUAAAACUCAAAUGUGAAGGGAAGGCUGGAACCUACUGGAAACUGAAGAUCUAACGAAAAGAAGGAACUUUUAGGAACUAGCAGAGACUUCAAAAUGUUGAGAACUCUCUUUUUUCAUAAGAGAAGAUAAAAACUCUGAUGGUCACACUCAUAAAGAC